GCAGGCAGCCUCCCCAUGGGCACAGUUUGUCAUGAGGCCGCCUUGUCUGACAAAUGGAGAAAUUGAGGCCCACGGAGGUGUGAGGUCUAGACGGGGUCUCUGCCCUGUCAGGGCAUCCGUGGACACAACGUAAGAAGACAAUGAAUGACUAAAAUAAUUUCAGAUGAUUAUACGGGCCGGGGAGGGGGGGGAAGAAAAAGAAUGAGAAGCAGGAACUGUCUGGGGACAUCAGGGAGGGCCUCUCGGAGGAGGAAACGUUUGAGCGGAGACCUGAAGAAGUAAGAGCCAACUGGGGGGAAAAACAGGGAAGGGCAGAAGGAACAGCAUGUGCCAAGGCCCUGAGGUAGGACGGUGUCUUGCAUGUUGGAGGAACAAUGAGGAGAUCCAUGUGGCUUGAGCAGAGGUCCUCUGGCUGUCCUUUGAAGAAGAUGUACCCAGAGGGUCCCGGGGGGACCGCGGAGGAGAUGACCGCUAAGCCAGGAGAGCAAGUCAGAAGCCUGGACCAGGGCAGAGGCCACGGCAAUGGAGAGACACAGGUGGUCUGAGAGGCAUCUCGGAUGCAAAGACAAGGAACCUGGCGAGUGAGAAAGAAGGAAGAAUCCGGGAGGACUCUGGCCCCUUCCCCUGAGCCCCUUCCCCCGCCCUGGCUCCUCCCCCCGGGUCCUCUGGGGGCUCACUCACAUCACCAGCUCCUAUCACCUCCUCCAGAAAGCCCUCCGGACUGCCCUGGCCAAGUCUGAAGUACCUACCUUGGCCCUGCCUGCUCCGCACAGCACAGAAGCCCCGCAGACUCCUAGAGAGAAAGAAGGAAGAUUCCAGGGUUCUGGGAUCCGAGGACUUGGACGACGUGGACCUGGCGGUCCUCACCCCUGGGUUUAGAGUCUCACCUUCGCCUCCCAGGGACCGGCCCAGGGAUGUUUUCUCAGUCGCCCUGCAGGGCGAGGGAGGUUGAUUGAGCCCAUUAGGGGAAACCAAGGCACCAUUAGCUGCUUCCCUCCUCUUUUCCAGGAGGGGUCCCUGGGGUUGGGGGCUUUGGCCCAGCUGCCGGACUAGGAGCCCAGCCGGGAAAGAUCCGGAGCGGGAGGGAGGCAGGCCCGGGAGGGGCUAGGAACGUGUCUAUAUUUUUCCUCCUGCAGAUGUAUUUAUAGAUUCCCUUUGAUGUCCCAGCGGUUGGCUGACCCGGUUCUCCGUGCUGCGGGAGGAAGACAGAAAUCUGCAAGUUACCGGGAAUGUCCCAGGGCCUGGGUUCUAAUCAGAUGAUAAAAGGCGACGGCGAGCGGGGGUGCAUUCCCACAGAGCAACUGCCCCAUAGAACUUUCCGGGAUGACAGAUGUGCUCGGAAUCCACGCUGACUCACGUGGCAGCCGCCCGCCACGGGGCUCCCGGGCCCUUGCACGCUGGCUAGUGUGAGCAACGGGGCUGGAUUCGGAAUUUGAUUUUAGUUGAUUUAAAUCUGCACUGGGGCGCCUGGGGGGCUCUGUCCCUUAGGCGUCCGGCUUCGGCUCCGGGCAU